UCUCGCUAGCGUAAAAGUUAAAACAAAUUUGUAUGGAGUUGGAACGUUUGCCUACCUUUGCGACUAGGGGCGCUGUUCUAACUGUAUACAAAUUUGGGUUAACUUUUACGCUAUCGA
rnacentral:pre_miRNA from 9 species